AAUGAAUGCAAAAGAAGCUAAUGAGAGUUUAAGCUAAUCAGCAGCAUAAUAUCUAAUGUUGAAAUUAAGUUAUACUAAGGCAGUUCAUCAGUUGUGUAUGCAAUGAGAACAAAAAAGACUUUAAAUAUUUCAACUUUAUUUUUAGAUUUGUUCUCUUCUUUCCCUUGCCAUCCACUCAGAGGGAUCUAUGCAUCCCUGCUGGAGUCCUGAGGACAUCCAUACUUCUCCCAGCCUCUGAAACCAGGCCCAACACUAUGAAAGCCACUCAGUAUUUAACAGCUUUAACCUGAGGUGGUCACUUGAACUAAGACCAGGCGAAAGGCAGUUGGUGCAACUGAUAAUCAUAGGUAUAUAUAGGUAAGUUAUAGUUUCUGUUCACUUAGUUGUUUUUGGCAUAUUUUGUUCAGCAUACAAGUAUUGAUUCUAUAUAAAACUGUUAGUAUUGGGGGCUCUCUAACCACUUAGCAGAAAUCUCAGAUUGUGAAUAGGAAGUCACUGGAAAAAAAAGAUUUCAAAUAUUUUUAGCUGUCUUAAUAUGAUGUGAUAUUACGGCUGGAAACAAGAAGGAGCCAGCAAACUCUUUUCAAAGCACUAGUGGUUCACAGUAGAAAACUGCUAACAUAAGAAUACCCAUACUGGGUCAGACCAAAAGGUCCAUCUAGCCCAGUAUCCUGUCUUCUGACAGUGGCCAAUACCAGGUGCCCCAGAGGGAAUGAACUGAGCAAGUAAGCAUUAAGUGAUCUGUCCUGUCUCUCAUUCCCAGCUUCUAGCGAACAGAGGCUAGGGACACCAUCCUUGCCCAUCCUGGCUAAUAGCCACUGAUGGACCUAUCCUCCACAAACUUAUCUAGUUCAUUUUUUAACCUUGUUAUAUACUCCUGAGGGCAUUCUGAGCCAAAAAAAUUAAAUAUUCUGCAACAAAGAAAUAAAAUAUUCUGCCUACAAUAUUUUAAAAUUCUGCAUAUUUUAUUUGUCAAAAUAACACAAUAGAAUCACACCAUUUUCAAUUAUUUGCUGACAGGUAUUUUGAAAUAAAUUACCAAAAUAAUUGAAAAUGGUGUGAUUCUAUUGUGUUAUUUUAACAAUUAAAAUAUGCAGAACUUUAAAUUUUUUGGUGCAGAAUUCCCUCAAGAGUACCAGGUGCAAUCUGGGUGCAGGCACCUCGAUGGGGAUAUGGAUGCAGGGGGGGGACCUGGAUGCACAGGGGCUUGGUGCAGGGGGAAUGGGACUCUGCAGGGAAGUCCAGAUGAAGGUGGUUAGGAUUCAGAGGGGAGGGGUGCAGCUGGUUGGGGCGGGCUCCUGACGCAGGAGUGAAGCUUGGCACAGUGGGGUUUGGGGGGCUCAUGAUACGGAGGAGGGCGUGUCCAGGUGCAUGGGUGGGGGGAGGGGUCACAGUACAAGGAGCUGCUUCCCUGUCCGCCCAACCGCUGUGCAUCCGGACCAUCCCGCACACAACCCCCCAGCUGAGCCUCCCCUCCCCCAAGCCCCAUGGUGCAGAGCAUCCUGCAGCCAGAGGAAGGUUCUGGGGCUUGAUCUGACCCAGCCCCGGCUGCUCAGUGCAAGGAAGAGGGAAUGGGACUCAUCUCCGUCCUCCCCCUACCCCCACCCCGCAGCUGGGACUAAUGUCCCUGGGUGGCCAGGGCAUCCCCAGACCACCUCCUCUCAGUGAUUUACCUCUCCCCCCCCCCAGCUACCUGAACAGACGGGUCUGCACUGUGGCAGGUACUCUUUGCUUCCCCACAGAAACCAUUUUCUGCAAGGAAGCCUGUGGAAUCUGCCGGGGGGGGGGGGGGAGGGCAUUUUUCUGCUGCGCCACAGUUGUGCAGAAUUUCCCUGGAGUAUGUUAUAGUCUGGUACAUACAUUUUUCUUUUCCAAUACCCUAUAUUUGACAUAUGUUUAACCUACAGUUUUACAGUAGACCUAAUUCUUGUUUAUUUUUUUCCCCUCACCUUGUCUGUUUCUAGUUCUAAAAACAGUUAUAAAGCCCAGAGGUGCCAGGAGGGAAGGGAGUAGUCCCCCACAGGGGAAAUAUUGUGGAGGUUUCUGCCUCUGCAUAAACUCACCUGGAAGGGUUGAUGCGAGAAGGACGCAAGCGGUGGAGUAACAGCUAUGGGGCCCAAGAUCAGGACCUAGAGAGCCCAAACAGCUGUGGUGGGGAUUUGGAUCAGGCCAGGAAGCACGAAGCAGGAUCCAGAAGGUUGAACAGCAGCCAUAAGGCCCAGAAUUGGGCUGGGGAGCAGAGAAUGAAACCCAGAGAAGCUGGAAUGGGCCAGGAAGCAGGGCAAGUCUGAGCCAUAAGAUUGAGGUCUUCAAUUUCGUUUUGGAUCAUCCUGUUAUGGAAAAUUGGACAACCUAUGGACUAAUUCUGGAAGAACUCUUUGCAACUCUAGAGCUCACCAUCUCUACUAUGAAACUGACCUAAGAACUACAUUCAUGUCUACAUUUCCUCUUAUUCAAGCUCACUAAUGCUUACAGGGACUUUUCAGUCUCCAUACAGCUUUAUAAAACAACUACACAGGAACCCAGCAGUCAGAUACAGACUACUUCCUUCCAGGAGCCAAAGAUGCUUAACACACAACUUUGUUCCAGCCCUCACACCAGAAACUAGGGUGACCAGAUGAGAGGAAAAAAAUACUGGGACACAUGGGGGUGGGGGUGAGGUCACCGGCAGAAGGAAAAAAAGCCAGGUGUUGUGAAAUAUCGGGACAAAUUGCAUCCCAACCAAAGACUGGGACGUGGGACAAAUGCCUAAAUAUUGGGACAUCGGGUCACCCUACCAGAAACCCAGCUGCAAAUUUUUCAAGCCUCCCUACUCCAUCCCGAAGGCUAGCUCAGAUAAGGCGGAGGAAAAAAAAAAGACGCGAGACGAAAUGUUCUCAGAAAUCAUGGAAGUAACCCGCAAUGAAAGAGCUCAUCUGAAUGAAUGGAAGGACGUGGUAUCAAAUUACAGGAAAGAUGCCAGUGAACGUGAGGACAGGAGGGACGAACGUGAGGGGAGGUGGCAGCAGGAAGAUCAGAGGAGGCAUGAUGCAACGCUGGGGCUGCUGCGUGAUCAAACUGACAUCCUCCGACGUCUGGUGGAGCUUCAGGAACCGCAGUGGGGUCACAGAGUGCCACUGCAGCCCCUGUGUAGCCACCCUCACCACUCACCAUGUUCCAUAUCUUCCUCACUCAGACAUGUAAGAAUGCGUGAGGGAAGGCUUAGUGCACCCGCCCACUCCACCCCAGUGGACAGUCCAACCAAAAGGCUGUCAUUACUUUGAAAUAUUUUUAGUGGCCUUUUCCUUCCCUCCUAUCCUCCUCCCAAACCACUCCCGGGAUACUUUGUCAGUUCUCCCCCUCUUUUUAUAAUGACUUUUUAAUAAAGAAUACAUGAUUUUUAAA